rnacentral:piRNA from 1 species
CCGGUGCUAAGAGCUGGUGCGGGAGGU